rnacentral:other from 1 species
GUUCACCGCCGCACGGGCGGCUUAGAAA